GGAUUUAACCCUUGCAAAGGCUAUUACAGUUGCUAGCCAAAUUGAAACAGCAGUGGCAGAGGCUAAAACUCUCAGAGGGAGGCCAGAUGGAUAAAGCGCUUGGAUAGUGCUUAUCCGAAAGGGUUAAAUGAGCAGUGCAAUUUAUCAUGUUUUCUUUAAUAGUAAUGGCUUGUCGUCCUUUGUUCCCAGGAAUUAUAACUAGAUUCCAAGUUGUAAUGACAUGGAACUCCUGCUGCAUUUACAUAUGGGUCUUUUACAGGUUAGGCGGAUUGAGCAGUAACCUGGUUUUAACAUUAUGUUUCAGUGGGAUUUCAACAUGUAUUAUAUGAAAUAAUGUGUGUCACUUUUAAUAGCUAGAUGAAUUGGGUCACAAUAAGUUUUUACAAUAUUUA